UCAGUAGCCGGCCUGAGAGGGUGAACGGCCACAUUGGGACUGAGACACGGCCCAAACUCAUACGGGAGGCAGCAGUGGGGAAUAUUGCACAAUGGGGGAAACCCUGAUGCAGCGACGCCGCGUGAGUGAAGAAGUAUUUCGGUAUGUAAAGCUCUAUCAGCAGGGAAGAAGUGACGGUACCUGAAUAAGAAGCCCCGGCUAACUACGUGCCAGCAGCCGCGGUAAUACGUAGGGGGCAAGCGUUAUCCGGAUUUACUGGGUGUAAAGGGAGCGUAGACGGCAAGGCAAGUCUGAAGUGAAAGCCCGGUGCUUAACGCCGGGACUGCUUUGGAAACUGUUUGGCUGGAGUGCCGGAGAGGUAAGCGGAAUUCCUAGUGUAGCGGUGAAAUGCGUAGAUAUUAGGAAGAACACCAGUGGCGAAGGCGGCUUACUGGACGGU
rnacentral:rRNA from 1 species